rnacentral:rRNA from 1 species
GAUGAACGCUGGCGGCAGGCCUAACACAUGCAAGUCGAACGGUAGCACAGAGGAGCUUGCUCCUUGGGUGACGAGUGGCGGACGGGUGAGUAAUGUCUGGGAAACUGCCCGAUGGAGGGGGAUAACUACUGGAAACGGUAGCUAAUACCGCAUAACGUCUUCGGACCAAAGUGGGGGACCUUCGGGCCUCACACCAUCGGAUGUGCCCAGAUGGGAUUAGCUAGUAGGUGGGGUAAUGGCUCACCUAGGCGACGAUCCCUAGCUGGUCUGAGAGGAUGACCAGCCACACUGGAACUGAGACACGGUCCAGACUCCUACGGGAGGCAGCAGUGGGGAAUAUUGCACAAUGGGCGCAAGCCUGAUGCAGCCAUGCCGCGUGUAUGAAGAAGGCCUUCGGGUUGUAAAGUACUUUCAGCGGGGAGGAAGGCGAUGUGGUUAAUAACCGCAUCGAUUGACGUUACCCGCAGAAGAAGCACCGGCUAACUCCGUGCCAGCAGCCGCCGUAA